UUCAAUGGUCGGGCCUUGGCGGGGGUGCCUUCGGGCACGCCGGUUUCCUUUUGCGCCGGUACGCCAACUCCGUCAUGUGCUCGGCCACCCCA
rnacentral:antisense_RNA from 2 species